AGGUUGACCUCGGAUCAGGUAGGGAUACCCGCUGAACUUAAGCAUAUCAAUAAGCGGAGGAAAAGAAACCAACAGGGAUUGCUCUAGUAACGGCGAGUGAAGCAGCAAUAGCUCAAAUUUGAAAUCUGGCGUCUUCGACGUCCGAGUUGUAAUUUGUAGAGGAUGCUUCUGAGUAACCACCGACCUAAGUUCCUUGGAACAGGACGUCAUAGAGGGUGAGAAUCCCGUAUGCGGUCGGAAAGGUGCUCUAUACGUAGCUCCUUCGACGAGUCGAGUUGUUUGGGAAUGCAGCUCUGAAUGGGAGGUAAAUUUCUUCUAAAGCUAAAUAUCGGCCAGAGACCGAUAGCGCACAAGUAGAGUGAUCGAAAGAUGAAAAGCACUUUGGAAAGAGAGUUAAAAAGCACGUGAAAUUGUUAAAAGGGAAGGGAUUGCAACCAGACUUGCUCGCGGUGUUCCGCCGGUCUUCUGACCGGUCUACUCGCCGCGUUGCAGGCCAGCAUCGUCUGGUGCCGCUGGAUAAGACUUGAGGAAUGUAGCUCCCUCGGGAGUGUUAUAGCCUCUUGUGAUGCAGCGAGCGCCGGGCGAGGUCCGCGCUUCGGCUAGGAUGCUGGCGCAAUGGUCGUAAUCCGCCCGUCUUGAAACACGGACCAAGGAGUCUAACAUCUAUGCGAGUGUUCGGGUGUCAAACCCCUACGCGUAAUGAAAGUGAACGGAGGUGAGAACCGCAAGGUGCAUCAUCGACCGAUCCUGAUGUCUUCGGAUGGAUUUGAGUAAGAGCAUAGCUGUUGGGACCCGAAAGAUGGUGAACUAUGCCUGAAUAGGGUGAAGCCAGAGGAAACUCUGGUGGAGGCUCGCAGCGGUUCUGACGUGCAAAUCGAUCGUCAAUUUUGGGUAUAGGGGCGAAAAGACUUAAUCGAAACCAUCUAGUAGCUGGGUUCCUGCCGAAAUUUUCC
rnacentral:rRNA from 1 species